UACGUAGGGUGCGAGCGUUAAUCGGAAUUACUGGGCGUAAAGCGUGCGCAGGCGGUUGUGUAAGACAGAUGUGAAAUCCCCGGGCUCAACCUGGGAACUGCAUUUGUGACUGCACGGCUGGAGUGCGGCAGAGGGGGAUGGAAUUCCGCGUGUAGCAGUGAAAUGCGUAGAGAUGUGGAGGAAUACCAAUGGCGAAGGCAGCCCCCUGGGUCAAUACUGACGCUCAUGCACGAAAGCGUGGGGAGCAAACAGG
rnacentral:rRNA from 1 species